rnacentral:rRNA from 1 species
CGCGUGGACGAAGAAGGCCGGAAGGUUGUAAAGUCCUUUUCUCAGAGAAGAAUAAUGUGGGGAGGGAAUGCCCUACAGAUGACGUUAUCUGAGGAAGAAGCCCCGGCUAAUUACGUGCCAGCAGCCGCGGUAACACGUAAGGGGCAAGCGUUGUUCGGAAUUAUUGGGCGUAAAGGGCGCGUAGGCGGCUGAGCAAGCCUGGUGUGAAAGGCCACAGCUUAACUGUGGGAGUGCGCUGGGAACUGCUUGGCUGGAGUUCAGGAGGGGAAUCUGGAAUUCCUGGUGUAGGGGUGAAAUCUGUAGAUAUCAGGAAGAACACCUGUGGCGAAGGCGAGAUUCUGGCCAUGAACUGACGCUGAGGCGCGAAAGCGUGGGAGCGAACAGGAUUAGAUACCCUGGUAGUCCACGCUGUAAACGAUGUGCACUAGGUGUUGGCUGUUGUAACGGUCAGUGCCGAAGCAAACGCGAUAAGUGCACCGCCUGGGGAGUAUGCUCGCAAGGGUGAAACUCAAAGGAAUUGACGGGGGCCCGCACAAGCGGUGGAGCAUGUGGUUUAAUUCGAUGAUACGCGAGGAACCUUACCAGGGCUUGACAUAUGCAUGACGGUCGUAGAGAUACGGCUUCCCUUCGGGGCGUGCAUACAGGUGCCUGCAUGGUUGUCGUCAGCUCGUGCUGUGAGGUGUUGGGUUAAGUCCCGCAACGAGCGCAACCCCUGCUGUCUGUUACCAGCACGUAAAGGUGGGGACUCAGACGGUACUGCCGGUGACAAACCGGAGGAAGGUGGGGAUGACGUCAAAUCAUCAUGGCCCUUAUGUCCUGGGCUACACACGUGCUACAAUGGUCGGUACAGAGCGAGGCAAAACCGCGAGGUGGAGCAAAUCGCAGAAAGCCGGUCUCAGUACGGAUUGGAGUCUGAAACCCGACUUCAUGAAGUUGGAAUCGCUAGUA